AAGCAAGCGGAGCGGCACCGUGUUACCCCCAUGGUGAGGAUGGACCCCGCAUGGGAGCCGCUGGGGAAGGGCUGUGCCAUGCUGGGAAGAGCCCUGUGCAGGCUGCAGGCUGGGGCAACGCAGGCGGGCACUGGUGCAAGAAAAGGAAGUGAGAAGGAAAGGAGAAGGGGAGGGCAUGGCAGCGGGCUGCCCCACGCUGCGCUCUGACUCUGCUCUUCCUUUGCUGGCAGUGUGACAGCUCGCCCGCAUGCGGCACCCAUAGGGUCCCCCCACUGCCUGGGGGCUGCCUGCCCCGUGCUGGAUGCCCCAAAUCCCAGUUCUGCCCUGCAGGGUUUGUGUACAAUCCGUGAUCAGGGCUCAGCCUUGCACAGCUGUACCCUGCGCCAUGCCCAGGCAUGAUCAGGGCACUUAGGGCCAGGAUGGGGAAGUCAGAGCUGCUCCACGGCAUCAUGUGAGUGGAAGGAAACGGAGGAAGUUCUCAGCUCCCAGCCCUACACCCAAACUCUGUGUCAAGUGUUGGCCAGGCCCAGAGCUUGGCAGAGCUCAGCGGCCCCAGCUGCGCCUGCCCCAUGUCCCACCUGCAGUGGGAAUGCUCCGUGUUCUGUUGCCCCAGGUCACCAUCCUGCUGCAGAGCCAGGACCUGGGAUGUGCAUCCCGGCAGGAGACAGGCUGAGCAAGGGAUGCUGGUGGCAGAGGCUUGGAGCCAUGCACCAGGGGCACAAGGACUGGGGGCCGCAGUCGCCUGCUACAAGCUCCUCUCCCCAGCCCUUGAAGCCCUCCCGCUGGCUCUCUGUGCUUCUGCAGGAACUAAAAAGGAGAGAGUCUGUGCUUCUCUCCCAAUUGUCCCUAUUUAUAGCCCCGAGUGCUGGCAGGACGGCUGUGACCUUGUCACCCCGCUCGGCAGCAGCUCUGCGCCCUCAGACAGCACUGUUGGCAGGUGCAUUGCAAAAUCCUCGUUUUUCCCUUUGCUUUGCUUCCCUUGUACCAACCAAACUCGUUCUCAGUGGCUGCACAGCCAGCAAAACCCCACAGCAAACUCCGGUGGCCCCUUGCAUCCCACUGCGCUGAAAGCAAAGGCAGUGCGGGCUCUGAUGCAGCACUGGAGCACAGAGCACGGGGUGGCCAAGGGAUGGGGACGUGGGGAUGGAGCGGGGCCGUGCUGCAGGGGUGUCCCACCGUGCUGGGGCCACUGGGAUGGCAGAUCAGGAAGCAGAACCGCACAGAGCCGGAGCCCAUGGGGAGGUGUGGGUGCGCACGAGACUGCGAAAAGAGGAAGGUGGCAGACAGGGGACGUUUCCCAAACGCAGACACGAGACGGCUCCAGAGCCCCCACCCAGCCCCAGCGCCCUGCGGUGCUGCCCCACACUCGGUGACGUAGCUGUGGCACACGGCCUCGGAGUCCCCAAAUUCCGGGCAUCCCCGCGCCGUGCCAGCUCCCACGCCCACGAUGUCCCCCACGAUGAGCCCUCCCCAUCCAAUCGCGGUGCGGAGGUGACAGGGAGGGGGCUGUGCCACCCCGGUGCACAUCACCGCCCCGAGCCCUCAUGCAGCCGGCCACGGGCCGCACCGACGCCGUCCCCACACCCGUACCUGCGCUGUUCCGGCCAUGGCCACGCCGUCGGCACCCGGCUCGCGGUGCGCAGCGUUGGCCGGGCAGGGAGCCCGGAGGGAAAAGAAGAAAGAGAGAGAAAAGAAAAGAAGCCGAACACAUCCUCUCACAGGAAAGGGAGUGGUAAGGGAAGUGGCAAACUCAACUGAAGAGUUCAGACCUUUUUUGGGAAAGCCCCGCCAAGGCCACGCUGCUCUGCCCGGCCGAGAGCUGCGGGUGCUGCAUCCCUCCCGCAGUGUGGGGACACAGCUCUCCCGGGCAGGACGGGGACAUCUGGGGCAUCACGGGGACACCGUGGGCAUGCCAGCACCGGAGGAACCCAUAUAACCAAGGAAGUGGCCAUUGUGGCAUCACACCCUGCGCAACACAAGGAUCCAUGCAGAGGGACGGUGCCAACACGUGGUGCCCCAGGAUCUCCUGGAGCAUCACCCACGGGGCAAGGAAUCGGGCAGCGAGCAGUGGGGCCACGGAGUGGGGGUGGAAUGAGCCAGAGCCCCGAGGGCACAGUGCCACCCAGCAGCGUUGGUGCGGAGCGGGGCUGCCCCCACCUGCUGCCAUGCAGCACUGGGCUGAGCUCCUUUGGCUGAGUGUGACUCACAAACAAAGGAAACGUGCGAGAGAAAAAUCAGCCGUGCAACCUCAGCUUCCUCGACCGAAUUUGCCCGCGGGGCUGCAACAACGGCGCAGACACCGGCAAAGGGAGCACGGAGCGAGAGCCGGGCGAUGCAGCGUGCACCCAUCGCCCCAAAACCCACCAAAAUCACCCCAGCACCCAAAACCCAACCCGCCACACCGCUGCUGUCCCAGCGCUGAGCCCACACCGCUGCAGGGGAACUCCCCGAGCCCUGUGCAAAACCCCCGUGCUUUGGCAGCUCUGCUCCUUGGCUGGGACCCCCCGCCCCCUCCCCAGGUUUACCCCGUGGGCACAGCCCGGCCCCGCAGCUGCCCCCGCCCCGCAGCGUGCCCCAGCCACCUGCCGGCGCACAGGAAGUUUUGGGAGCUAUUCUUAGAAUGCUUUUUCUCUCUCUUUUUUUUUUUUUUUUUUUCCCUCCCACUUCAGCAAUUAGAAGAAAGGACUCGAAAGGUGGGGCUCAAGCUCCUGCAUUGGGAUGACGUUUGUGGGCACGGGGCAAGGCUGACCCCCAUGCUGCCAGCGCCGAGGUGACAGCGGUGCACAGGACCACAGCCCGAUCCGGGACACCUCGACCACGUGGGGACCAAAGAGGUGGUGAUGUGCUGACCUGAGCGUGCCCACAAAGAGCCCCUGCACACUGCAGAGCUGGCGGCGGGGAGCGGAUGUCUCCGGGAGCCCUGCAGUGAUUUCUUUGUCAGCCCCAGUCCCCAGCGCUGGGUGCUCCUGCACCGAGCAUCCUCCGAGCCAAACCCCAGCAACAUCCUCCACGGAGAUCCCCAUUGCACAUCCCAACGCUCCCCAUCCCACGUCCCCAAAUUCCCCAUUGCACAUCCCAACGCUCCCCACCACGUAUCCCAAAAACUCCUCACUGCACAUCCCCCCAAAUCCCAUCCCAACAUCCCAAAAGCUCCCCACCAAGCACCCCAAAGCUCCCACCACGCCCCCCAGUGCCCCCCAUCAGACACCCCAAAUCCCACGGCUCUGUCCCAGCCCCUCGGCCCCGGCUCUCGCCCAGAAACGUGGUUAAUUAUUUCAGAGCAUAAAAAUAGCACCUGCGCCAAUCAGCUGGGGGAUUUAAUAAGGCAAGCCCUGACAAUUAUGUUUCUAUUAGUGGAGGUAUCGUGGCGUUGUUAAGGCAGACUCCCAUUAAGCAUUUGGUAAUGAUCCAUGCGAAAGGAGAAAGAUCGCGGGGAUCAAUACUGGGCAGAGGCACGGGGCGAGCUGCGGGCGCACGGGUGAGGGAAGGAGGGAAGGAAGGGAUGAAGCCUUGCUGUGCUGCUGCCCAGACUGUGGUUUGCAGCUGGAGCAGUCCCUGAGCAGCACCGUGGCCGCACAUCCCUCUGCUGAGCAUCCCUGGCCCUGGCACCGCCUGCAUGCACCAAAAUCCCACUUUUGGUCGCUAAAUCCCUCUGCAGACGGAGAAUAUGGAGCACGUUUGCUCAUGCUCAGGUUCAUCCUGGUGAGAGGCAGGAGGGUCCCCGUGCACACGGGUGCAGGUGGCACAGUGUGGGGCUGGCGGCCCCCUCAGCACCGGGAAUCCGCGGUAACUGGGGUUGUGAGCCUCAGAGAGCCAAGGGCACGGAGAUGGGGCAUCGCCUUUUCCAAGGAAAGGGAAUACAUCAUGGCAUUGAGGUGAAUGGAAACCCUCUGCAUCCCGGGGAGGUGCUGGGGCAAAGGGCAGCUCCAUACAGCCAGCAGGUGUCUUCCUGCCCAGCCCCAGGAUGAGACCAAAUGCGGCACCCGGAGCCCCCAGCGCUGCACACGGAGCUGUGUGCCCACCCCUGUGGGCAUCGGGGCACUGCACACUGCCAGCCUGGAUUGGAGCUUCUCGGGGUCAGGCUGCAGGCAGAGCCCAGGAGAGGCACCCACGCCGGUGGGCAUGGCUCACACCGCAUCCCCUCUGCUGCCCCAUCCUCAGGACAGCCCCCGGGGGACGCGGUGAGCCCGCAUCCCUGUCCGUGGGACACACACCAGUCACCGCCACAGGGAUGCUCUGCGCCGUCCCGUCUGUGGCAAGCACCGGGGAGCUCUGACACCGACCCGUGGGUUAUUUAAAACCCGACCAAAGGGGAACAAAGUCUGCAGGGUUCAGCUCGGCCACGCAGGGAGGAGCUGGUGGCAUGGAGGAAGGAAGCGCUGUCACCCUGCAUGGCCCCUGUGCCACGGGCACGGCGCAGCGUCCCGCACCGCCUCACGGCAGCGUCUUUCCUCGUUAUUAUUUUUUGUUGUUUUGGCGAGGCCGGCACGAAGCUUUCCCUUCCUUUUCCGGGGUUGCUGCACCUGUUUGCUCUUCUCCUGCCCUUUGCACUGAACCGCCGCGCGGGCAUUUGCCUUCUGCAGGAGCCCCCCGUGGGUUCACGUAGGAGACAGGAGGGAGGGCGAGGGGAAAACCCAAACCCCGCGCCCCAAACACUUUGCUGGCUCCGUGAGGCCCCUCUACACGGAGCCCUGUCCCCAAACCCAGCAAUCCUCACCAUCUGUGCAAAGAGCCCCCAGCAGCUCAGCACAGAGCAGGUGAGGCCGUUUCCAGGGCUGCUCAGAGAACUGGAAGUGCUGCUUGUUUGGAAAAUCUACCCUACGUUUUCCUGCUGUCAGGAACCCCCCCCUUUUUUCCAUGCCUGUAACGAAUAUUGAUGCUGAACCCCAACAGAUUCCGUUGUUCUCCUUGCUGCUGCUGCUCCACCCUCCCCUGGGCUAAACCAAAGGCAGGAGAUGGUGUGGGAUAGGAGCAGUUCUGGGGCUGCCCGUGUCCCUCCCCACGCCCUUGGGCGCAGCACGAGCCCGGCUUUGGUCUGUGCCAUAGUUUUACCCCAAAGCCACCAAACGCCGUGUCCCCUGGUGCCCAGCUGCCAGCACAGGGGAUGCACCCCCACCCUGUGCACGAGGAGCGGCCCCACCACAGUCUGUUGGAAACGCGCUCGCUGCAACACGGCUCUCCAGCAAAAUGCAGAGCAUGUGGAGCUGGCUGGGCUUGCACUGCAGGGAGAGAGCGUAGAUCGGCACUGCUCCGGCACCCAAGGGUGAUGGUAGAGAAGGGAACAUGAGGAGCCGUGGCAUGGGAAGCACGUGGUGAAGCGGAGCGGGGAAUGAAUGGAGUGGGCACUGCUGGAAACGGGCAGGGAGAGCUGAUGGAGUGCUCAGCACUGGAUGAGAUGCCCACAGGGCCUAGUGCUGUGGAGCUGGAGCGGGGAUGGUGACGUCCCCCAUGGAGCAGCUGCCAGGUCCGGGCUGCAACAGAGUGAGAGCUCAACACCUUCCCCUUGUGCAGCAGUGUAGGACACCAUAUGCUGUCCUCUCUUCUCCAUUGGGUGAAAACCGUUCUAAGAACCGGGGGCAACGUCCAAUUUCUUCCCCUCAAAUCGAGAAGUAGCUAUUCAACAACACACAGAACCAAAUGGUUUUAGACCCACCCCCUCCAAACGGCCUUUGCAAUGGAAACGCAGAGACGUGCAGAGACGAAGAAGGAACUGAGUAAUAGGAAGCGGCGGUGGGCACGGGGCAACCCGGAAGCGGCCGCGAUCCCGGCGCAGCGCUGCACCCUGCUCACCGCCCCGCUGCUGGGGUGAGGGUGCAUGGCGGGGGCUCACUGCAAGAAACUGCCCGGGGGGAACACAGAUCCCCACCUGAGGGAUAGGGCAGAACCCAGCACAGUGGGCCUACAUCCCCCAGAGUUGCGUUUCCAAAGGGAUUUUCUCUGGAGGAUACAAAAAGGAGGGACCGCCACGGCAGCUGCGGAGGUGCCCUGCAGAGCUCGUGGAGCUGCUGGCCCAAAGCUGCUCAUGGUGCUGCUCCUGGGGGAACUGCUCUUUGCACGGGCCCAGCUGAACUCAGGGUGCUGCAGCCCGGUUCCAGCCCCACAGUGAGCUUGUGGCAAAGAGAGGAGAGGAUGCACUUUGGGAGGCAGUGGAGAUGCGCUGCUCCCGCACCUCGGGCAGCUCAGCAUGAAUUACUCUGGCGGGGUAUUCUUCUCCCUUUCCCUCUGGAGCAGCACGAUGAGAUUAUCUGCCUUCGGUUCCUUUCAUUUUAUUUUAAAUAACGGCAUCAAAACGGGCACACCGACCCCGACUGAUACACAUCCGAGUCACCAAGCCCCUGCUUCCCCAGUAUAAUCUUAGGAGGUAGAGUUUGUUUAAUUGCCGAAGAACACGACUGUAUUUUGAUUAGCAGCUUUGAGUCAUUUGUGGGGAAGGGCUGAGGCGGAGGAGCUGAAAUCCUUGUAGGGAAAUCUGAUGUGGCUCUGUCCCCUGGGACGUAUCCUGAGGUAUGCGCCCACUGGGGCAACCCGACGCACACCACGUCCACCGGGACGGCAGGCACGGUGAGCACCAACCCUGCCCAUGAUGGCGGAGCCGCAGCCAGAGGGGAACCAACUCUCCUCACAGCGGGGAAAUCCCUCCCACUCACUUAACACUUUUUGUUGAGUUUCUUAAAUAAGGCCAUGGAUCCGCGCCAGAGCAGCCACACGGGGAGGGAGGGAGGGAGGGAGCUUCCCGGGGGAUCCUCGCCGUGCCCAGGGAUGCGGCCGGCCCUCUCCAUCCCUCGGCCAAGCCGCCAAGCCCACGUGAUGGGCUCGUGUUGGGCGACAGAUAGAUGUCACGUCCCUCUGGGGGAGCCACAUCCCGGUCACUGGGUCCUCUGGUCACUAAGUCCCCUGGUCACCAGGUCCCCCUGCCUGGUGCUGGAGGACCCGACGCUGACCGGAGCCUACGCUCACCCUGACCUCACCCAACCUCCCCAUGCCACAGCGAGGUCAGGGCUGCUGGUGGGGCACAGCACCGCCGGCUGCAGGGAGCACGCAGGGGACCCCGCAUCCCACAGAGGAUGCUCCAGCACCGCACACCUGUGGGUGCAGAGAGGGCCCUGGGGGGUGACCCCAAUGCAACGCUCCCCUGGGUUGGGCAAGACCCAGAGCAGCCAUCUCCGAGGCGGGAGGGGGCCCCCGGCUUCCUCCUUCCUCCUCCAUCCUCCUCCUCCUCGCAGGGGCCCGGCCCUCCCCGGGGGUGAUGGGGCGGGAGGGGAUGAGAGGGGAACCCCCCGUUCCCCCUGGCUCGGCGCGCCCUGUGCCCCCGCCCCGCGGAGCAUCGCGCUGUGCCCCCUCGCGCACGGGGCCGGUGACAGGCGGUGACACACGGACACACGGACGCAGCCCUCCCUCUCCGUCAGCGCCCCGCGAUGCUCAGUCCACCCCCCACCUUGCCCCUUCGCUGUCGGACCGUGCGAAAAGCCGCUCCGCAUCUUUUCUGUAAGCUCGGCUGCGAUGAGGUCUCCUUCCUCUCCCCACGGGUGCUUCCAAACAGAGAGCGAUGCCUUCGGUGCGCCCGGAUUUGCUGAUUUUUGGCGCUGCCGAUAGAGGUCCCGUAGGGCGGCGCUGGGUGAACGGGGCAACCUCGGCUUGGAUGGCGUGGGGAAAGCACGAAGCAAGCACAAAGCAAGCACUGCACGCCUUGUUGUGCUCCACAAGAAGAGCUCCAGGAACUCCAGGCAGGCUGCUAGGGAACAGGAAGCCUCUUCUGAUGCAUAUCUGAGAGGAGUCAGCCUGUGUCAGGACUGAGAUACAGCGCGGCUCCCGAUGGGUUUGCAAAGCACCAUUUGAUGGAGAAAUCCUGUCAGUGGUUCCUCAAGCCCCAGCUCCAAAGCACUCUGCAAUACCAGCCUUGCUGGAGCAGCAGCGGGCCGCUCCCUCCCACGGUCCCUAGAUGAUGUGCACCCCAAGAGGCUGGCAGGUGUUGGGAUGGGAUGCACGGAGGUGCUCAGAGAGGUUUUGUGUUCCAAAGACCUCUUUCUCCCACCCCUACCCAGGCUUUGCAGCGGGAAGUUUGGGUGGAGGGACCCAAAGAGGGACCUGUGCUGGAGCUCCAAGGUACCAACAGGACCUGAGUCCCUGCAGCCCAAAUGCAUGAACCCAAUAACAUGAACCGACCCGUUCGGGCUCCAGGAUCCUUGCUGACAUUUUAAGGCAGCUCAUGUCUCCAUUUUCUACCCCUUUCCAGUAAAGACAUUGGAUGAGAGGACCCCGUUGUCUCACAUGCACUCAGGCUUGAAGGUAAAGCAACAGCGUGAGGUCCUGCAGUGUGGCUCUCUGCAGAGCAAAGCUUCAGGGGGGCUGUAGCACCACUGGGAACAAUGCAGCAAUAAAUUCUAUCACGUUUAGGGGAAAAAAAAGGGGCUAAUUAGUUUGAUUUCCUAACGUAACAGAGUUUAUGCAAGCACACUGUGUAUCGGCACAUUCCCGUUCUUCCAAAUUCCCCUCUUUAAAAACUCCUUAACCCUUUGGCCAGUUUUAACCCAAACCAGCAGAGAGGUACGGAGCUCAGAUCCUACAUUUGCAAGCAGCAGUGACCAGGGCCAGGGCUGCAGCUGUGAGAAACACCGACCCACGCUGCCAGCCCCUAUUAGACACCAGAGAAUCCACACAGUGCUGACAUCUGAUUGAUGUCCGAGCCGUGGGAAAAGCUUCCCUCGGAGUUUGUGCCCUCCCAGGCACCCAGGUCAGUCCCCCAUGAGACGCCAGCCCGCUGGAAGCCAGGCUGCAAAUCCUGCAGCUCACGGAGCUGUUUGUUUGCUUUUCAGUGCCAAGCUUCGGGGGGAGAGGGGAAGCAGCUUAGCAGAAGUCAUAGCCAGGAGGGCUAGCGCCGGCACUGAAAGCAGCUCUAGGGCUGCAGCCCCAAGGUCUUUGGCAUUAUGGAGGUCUCAUCUUGGAAGGAAUCGCUGCAAAUUACUGUCUACAGCUACAAGCUGUCAGGGUUUGGGGCAGCAAUACUCCUUAACAGCCCUGAGCAGCCUCACCUGGGGGCCUCCAUCCACACCCUUUGCACUCAGCCCAGGAGCCCUAUUUAAGCUCAGAGUGGAGCUCUCAGCUCUUGCUGUAGCAGUGCUGGGGCUGGCUUGCUCUUAGCCCUACCUGCCCAUGGGCCCUGCUGAGCUUGACUCCAAUCUGGAUGCUGGAUUUGUGACCUCAGCCUUACCUGGCCUUUGUAGAGCUGCUCAGCACUUGCUGGGCCUGAUCCUGACUCUGGGACUGAUUCAUUGCUUGCCUUUUACUGGUCUGCCUCAUCAUUGCGAGGUUGCCUCGUGAGCAGGGCUCUUGGAUGAACAUGGUGGUGACAUCUGGGGCUGGACCCUGGCUGGUGCCAUCCUUUCUUGCCUCCUGGCUCCUUCGGGAAGCAGCUGGCCCUUGUUGCUUCUUGACACAGUCAAGACUGAAGGAGACACCUGACAAACAGCCUAGGAGCUGCUUUCCACGCUGGGGAUUUAACCGCACUAAGGUCCUGUAGCAGAAGCAGAGCAUAGGACUUUUUACGGUUCAGAACUCAUUUAGCUGUGGAUUGUGCUGCUAGUUGUAGUAGCAGUAAGCAAUGCUCCAAAUUACCUCUGGUUUUCCACCUGAGCCUGCUGGGGAUGUGCAAACUUUCUCUCAAGCUUUCAUCACUGUUGGAGCAAUAGCUGAGCAGUUGCAAUGAGGUGUGCCGGGAAGAGUUUGGAAGGAGUAACAAUAAAGACCAAGUGGAGCUGGAUGGACUUUUCUUUUGGCUGAAAUCAAGGCAGGCAGUAUCUGCACAUCUAUGGCCUUUCCUUGACUACAAGAUGGAAAAGGCUGGGCUGCAUCCAGCCUGCUCCCACCUGCCUGCUGUGAGAGUUCACCAGUUUUAGCACGUGGGAGGAGCUGAGAUCUGCUCUGGAAGCCUUUCAUUUGUGGACACGAAAGUGGUUCUGCGUGGUCUCUGUGGAAGGCUGCAGGCGGAUGGAGCAGCUCCUGCAGGAAAUCGCACAGGAAGCUGCUGACGAGAAGGAGGAAGUGGUUCUAAGGAUGACACUGGACUCUGCAAGUGGGAUGUCAGGCAUCUCGAAGCAUAUUCUUUCUACCAGUUGAUACACCACGACAGCUUCUGCUUUCUCUGCUUUCUGCUGGAGGAGCAGCGCGUGUUAUGAUAAAGAGCUCGGGGAGCUCUGCUUGAAGCCUCCCUGGCUCACGCCCCGAAGCGCAGCCAAGCUGUCUCGUAAUCUCUUGCUUCAGGGCGUUGUUCUUACAAAACCUGUCCAGGAACUGAAACUUCUCAAGUGAGAUGAGCUGCCUGCCGAAGGCUGCACCUCCCUGAGCCCUGUUUGACUCACCCAGGUCUCGUAGGAAGCAGGCAACCCAAGAGGAGGCCCGAUUAUAGAAACAGGGCAAGGCACUCGACUUCUGCAGAACUCAAGGCUGCCUUUGUCGUUUGCAAGCAGUUGCAGCGAACAAGAUAAUCCAUGUUUAUUAAGGACCUCGGCGUGUUGUUUUCCUUUCGCUAUUGAUGUGGUGUACGGAUUCCAAGGCACCAGCACAACACCUCUUUGCCUCAACAGAAGCAGCACGAGGCAGCUCCUGAGAAGGCUGCGUGUGCGUGACUGCCACAGCAGCGCGUGCAUCGGCUGGGGCUGCAAACAAGAGCAGUUUCAGUUCUGGCUUGGCAUUUGCCAAGGUUUUGAAUACACUUAAAAAUAACUGCGCACACCAAUAAAGCAUGCAGAGGCACCUACCGA